rnacentral:rRNA from 1 species
UACAGAGGUCUCAAGCGUUGUUCGGAUUCAUUGGGCGUAAAGGGUGCGUAGGCGGCGCGGUAAGUCGGGUGUGAAAUCUCGGAGCUUAACUCCGAAACAGCAUUCGAUACUGCCGUGCUUGAGGACUGGAGAGGAGACUGGAAUUUACGGUGUAGCGGUGAAAUGCGUAGAUAUCUGGAGGAACACCGGUGGCGAAGGCGGCAUCCUGGACCAAUACUGACACUGAAAAGCGAAAGCCAGGGGAGCAAACGGG